UUCCAGCUCCAAUAGCGUAUAUUAAAGCUGUUGCAGUUAAAAAGCUCGUAGUCGGAUUUCGGGCGGCGGCCAGUGGUUCGGCUCCGUGCCGAUACUGCUGGUCGCGGCCUCCACGCCGGUCGUCUUUCGGUGCUCUUAGCUGAGUGCCUUAAGUAGCCGGAGCGUUUACUUUGAAAAAAUUAGAGUGUUCAAGGCAGGCCACAAGCCUGAAUGAUGGUGCAUGGAAUAAUGGAAUAGGACCUCGGUUCUAUUUUGUUGGUCUUCGGAACUGGAGGUAAUGAUUAAUAGGGACGGACGGGGGCAUUCGUAUUGCGGCGUUAGAGGUGAAAUUCUUGGAUCGUCGCAAGACGGACUACUGCGAAAGCAUUUGCCAAGAAUGUUUUCAUUGAUCAAGAGCGAAAGUCAGAGGAUCGAAGACGAUCAGAUACCGUCCUAGUUCUGACCAUAAACGAUGCCGACUAGCGAUCCGGCUCCGUUGCUUCUUAAGACUGGCCGGGCAGCUCCCGGGAAACCAAAGUCUAUGGGUUCCGGGGGAAGUAUGGUUGCAAAGCUGA
rnacentral:rRNA from 5 species